UACGUAGGGUGCGAGCGUUGUCCGGAAUUAUUGGGCGUAAAGGGCUCGUAGGCGGUUUGUCGCGUCGGAAGUGAAAACACGGGGCUUAACUCUGUGCUUGCUUUCGAUACGGGCAGACUAGAGGGAUGCAGGGGAGAACGGAAUUCCUGGUGUAGCGGUGAAAUGCGCAGAUAUCAGGAGGAACACCAGUGGCGAAGGCGACUUUCUGGCCUGUUCUUGACGCUGAGGCGCGAAAGCUAGGGGAGCAAACGGG
rnacentral:rRNA from 1 species